rnacentral:rRNA from 1 species
UACAGAGGGUGCAAGCGUUGCUCGGAAUUAUUGGGCGUAAAGGGUAGGUAGGUGGUCUCGUUUGUCUGAGGUGAAAGCCCUGGGCUUAACCUGGGAAGUGCCUCGGAAACGGCGAGACUAGAGUCCUGGAGAGGGUCGUGGAACUCCCGGUGUAGCGGUGAAAUGCGUAGAGAUCGGGAAGAAUACCAGAGGCGAAGGCGACGACCUGGACAGGCACUGACACUCAACUACGAAAGCGUGGGGAUCAAACAGG